rnacentral:rRNA from 1 species
GCUACGGGCGGCAGCAGUGGGGAAUAUUGCACAAUGGGCGAAAGCCUGAUGCAGCAACGCCGCGUGAAGGAAGAAGGGUUUCGGCUCGUAAACGUCUAUCAACAGGGACGAAAGAAAUGACGGUAACGGAAUAAGAAGCCGCGGCUAACGACGGGGCAGCAGCCGCGGGAAUACGUGGGGGGCAAGCGUUAGACGGAAUUACUGGGUGUAAAGGGUGAGGAGGCGGCCUGGUAAGCCAGAUGUGAAAGCCUUGGGCUUCACCCGAGGAUUGCAUUUGGAACUCUCAAGCUAGAGUACAGGAGAGGCAAUCGGAUUUCCUAGUGUAGCGGUGAAAUGCGUAGAUAUUAGGAAGAACACCAGUGGCGAAGGCGGCUUUCUGGACUGAAACUGACGCUGAGGCACGAAAGCGUGGGGAGCGAACAGGAUUAGAUACCCCAGUAGUC